UGGCCACAUUACAUUGAAAAACUGGCUCCCAUAAGAUCACUGAAGUUAAGCAAUGUCAAGCCUGGUCAGUACCUAGAUGGGUGACUACUUGGGAAUACUAACUGCUGUA